GGUUCAGAGUGCUGGCGCCAAGUCCCGACUAGCCAGACGACAACCCUCCACCGCGGUGGGGUGCCCUCGGGAAAGACCGGGCCAACACCAUGGCAAGCGCGGGUU
rnacentral:ncRNA from 1 species